rnacentral:lncRNA from 1 species
AGUCAAACUUUCUUCCAAAUUCCCAAUCUGUUUCUUAAUUUUCCUAAGAGUAUGACUACACGUGAUUCACACACAAACAAAGAUAAUGUCGGACUGUAAUGACUCCCUAAAACGUUGUCGGACUCUAAUGUGAUAAGGAAAAAUCUUCUAGCCUAAAUCACCCCUAAACGUGAACACAAUCAAACAAUUAAAAACGAAAAACAAAUAAAGUUGCCAAGAGUUGGAAAGAGCACUAAGAACUCUUCCAAUCUUGGACUUUAUAACAGGCCCUUUACAAACACAAAAAGCUAAUCUAACAAUGACAGUUGGGCUGCAAGCCCAUCGAAUACAAAAAAAAAAAAAAACAAUACACUAAACUAGGCUAUUGUCCGGUCCACUUCAUCUUGCUGCUACUACAACUCAAUGCGGCUACAAUCCCCUUGGUCAACAUCCUUGCUCAAGCAUCAGAAAAAAUUCUUGUUCCAAUUCUUCACAUGCCCACAAAACUGCUACGGCCCAAUUUAUUGAUGAAGAAUCAUGGCCCAGAUCUUGUUAUCAACUCUCUCGUUCUAUAUCACGAAACUGUCUGGGUCCAAUCCUGC